CCUACGGGUGGCAGCAGUGAGGAAUAUUGGUCAAUGGACGAGAGUCUGAACCAGCCAAGUAGCGUGAAGGAUGACUGCCCUAUGGGUUGUAAACUUCUUUUAUAAAGGAAUAAAACGAGGCACGUGUGCCUUUUUGCAUGUACUUUAUGAAUAAGGAUCGGCUAACUCCGUGCCAGCAGCCGCGGUAAUACGGAGGAUCCGAGAGUUAUCCGGAUUUAUUGGGUUUAAAGGGAGCGUAGAUGGGUUGUUAAGUCAGGUGUGAAAGUUUGCGGCUCAACCGUAAAAUUGCAAUUGAUACUGACAGUCUGGAGUGCAGUAGAGGUAGGCGGAAUUCGUAGUGUAGCGGUGAAAUGCUUAGAUAUCACGAAGAACCCCGAUUGCGAAGGCAGCUUACUAAACUGUGACUGACGUUGAUGCUCGAAAGUGUGGGUAUCAAACAGGAUUAGAUACCCUUGUAGUC
rnacentral:rRNA from 1 species